UUCUCCCGGACCAAAGGACUCCUCCUCCCACCUGCGGUCCGGAACAAGCCGGUUCUCCUCCUCCCGAACCGGCUCUGGAAAGAGCGCUCGCCGAACUCCUCCUCCCAUCGGCGAGCGCUUUUC
rnacentral:sRNA from 1 species